AACGAACGCUGGCGGCAGGCCUAACACAUGCAAGUCGAGCGAGAUCUUCGGGUCUAGCGGCGGACGGGUGAGUAACGCGUGGGAAUAUGCCUCUUGGUACGGAAUAGCCUCGGGAAACUGGGAGUAAUACCGUAUGUGCCCUUUGGGGGAAAGAUUUAUCGCCAAGAGAUUAGCCCGCGUUGGAUUAGGUAGUUGGUGGGGUAAUGGCCUACCAAGCCGACGAUCCAUAGCUGGUUUGAGAGGAUGAUCAGCCACACUGGGACUGAGACACGGCCCAGACUCCUACGGGAGGCAGCAGCGGGGAAUCUUAGACAAUGGGGGCAACCCUGAUCUAGCCAUGCCGCGUGAGUGAUGAAGACCUUAGGGUUGUAAAGCUCUUUCAGCUGGGAAGAUAAUGACGGUACCAGCAGAAGAAGCCCCGGCUAACUCCGUG
rnacentral:rRNA from 1 species